AAUAUAUAUCUAUAUCUAUAUCUAUAUCUAUAUCUAUAUCUAUAUCUAUAUCUAUAUCUAUAUCUGUAUCUAUAUCUAUCUAUCUAUCUAUCUAUCUAUCUAUCUAUCUAUCUAUCUAUCUAUAUUACACAGGGGACUGUAUUCACUGUGAUACCUAAAGAAAUAAAGGAGGAACAUUAUACUUCCUAGCAAGGGUCAAUUUGAAAUAGUACUGUGCACCACCAGAGGAUCAAGUGUACAUUACUGCAGUCUAUGUGCUGCCAGAUGCAUGCAAUGCAAUGAUGACAUCAGCACUCAGCAGCCAGUAAUAGAAGUCUACUCACUAGAAAGCAGAAUAAACUUCCUCCACAACACAGAUCUCAAGACUUUUGAAGUCUGUACUCUUUAGUAAGUUUCAGGCAUCUUUAAUGGGAGAAGAGGAUAGCUUAGGAUCUGGCAUUACAUCCAGGUAGGGAUCAAAAACAGGUUUGAAUAUUCCUCUGAACUGUUUUCAGAGAAAUCAAGGGCUUUGUUU
rnacentral:lncRNA from 1 species